AGGUUCUAUGGAAAGGAAAGGUUUAUGAUAUUUUUAGUUAGUUUAAUUACUUCUUUUUCAUUACUAAAUAUUACUACUAUGAAAGUUUACUUUUUUCUCUCGGGUGACCCAAGUAGAGGUACUUUUUUCAAUAGGCUUUUUGAACAGAUCACGCGUGAAUCGUCGUAGAGCAUAGUGUGGAAAAUAAAACAGCCGUAGCUGAGAGUGUACACGAAUACGGUGAAGAUUCGAGAUUUACAAGAACAGAACCUGAUCGACCUUCCCAAGUAACAACGCUUAUCUCUUUCUAUGGGCUCUUGAAAAAGUCCAAGAAGACCCGACGUUUUCGAGCCAAAUUCUGUUCGACGAUGAGGCCCAUAUCUGCAACCUGAACUGAUUCAAGAGCUGACAUUUCAUCCAGAAAAAAAACGAUUUGGUGUGAUUUGUGGGCCGAUUGAAUCAUAUUUCUUCAAAAAUGGUGUGAAUCAGAAUGUAACCGUCAAUGGCGACUGUUAUCGGGCCAUAAUAACCAACUAUUUGUUGCCUGGAAGUGAAGCUUGUUUGAAAUACGUGUCGUUUUGUGAGCUGCUAAAAAUGGUGCAGAAAGCCUUUAGUGAUGAGGCUAUGUCUAAAAAAAUGUUUACAAGUGGUAUAGUGAGUUCCAAGCCGACCGUGAACGUGUCGAAGACGAAGUGUGUCCAGGGCGACCAUCAACCUCAACCGACGAAGCUCACGUUCAACAAAUCAAAGAUUUAGUGUUGAAAACCCGUCGAUUAACAAUUAGAGACCUUACUGAUGAAGUUGGCAUAUCGAGAGGCUCAGCCAAUACCAUUUUGAAGGAUGUUUUGGGCCUCAAGCGCGUCAAAUCUCGACAACCACCGUAUUCACUUGAUCUGGCGCCGUGCGACUUCUGGCUGUUCACCAAGCUCAAAAGACCGCUCCGGGGACACCGUUUUUAUACGAUAGAGGAGAUUCAAGCCGCAGCGAAGACGGAACUGAAGGCCAUCCCGGAAAUUGACUACAGCCAGUGUUUGGAGCAGAAAGAUUGGAAAAUCCGUUGGCAUAAGUGCAUUGCAUCGGGAGGGGAUUACUUUGGAUGAAAUUGAUUUGGAAGAAUAAAUAAAGAAUUUUCAAAAUAAAUACAAUGUCACCUUAUAUUUUAGGCACAGUAAAUAUGUAUGCGAAUAAUCCCACUUCGAUUCAGACCUUGGCGCAAAACAUCACACGUGUCAUUCGCCAGUUACCAGUCGAAAUGAUCGAACGAGUCAUCGAAAAUUGAACUCAACCGAAGGAACAUCUGAGACAUAGCCGCUUCAAACAUUUGAAAGAGAUAAUCUUUAAAAAAUAAAUGCCAAAGGAUGUUCUUUCGUUUGGUAAUAAAAAUUGCACAUUAAAUUUGAAUUUUCUGUAUUUUUUUUUAAGCAGGAUCCUCGAAAUGGAUCACCCUACACAUUCUCUCUUUUCAGCCUUUGAAAUAUAUCACGCUUGAAUACGCUUGCCGGUCUCUUAUACACUUACUGUCUGUGUCUCUCUCUGUACUCAUUACUCGUGAACUAACACAACGAAUUUAAAGAAUUUUUCGAAAAACUGAUUUUGAAAACAUCUCGCAGUUAGCAUACUUUCAUUACACUUGUUUCUGAGUAUAUCUGGCUUUUUUAUAAAAUAUUCCAUAUAUUACCUGCAAAAUUGUGUCGUUAAUUUCAAACAAUUCGUGCAACGUCUCUCGCCAGUCAAAGCCAACAACAAUAUCGGCUGUUCUAGCAGAAAAGUCUCACCGGCUUUGAUAUCUACAGCUGCUGUGACAUAUCUGCACGCAAAAUAUGAAUUAUUUAAGCAGUGUAAUAUAACAUUGCUGCUAAUUUCUUAAAACAAAAAUAGAAAACAGGCACAACGAAAAUGAUUGCACUAAAAAAUCCAUAUGUUCAAAUACCUGCCCAAUUCGGCGUUGCUCUCGAUAUUACACUUCUUCGCAAACACAUCCAUUGUAGUUUUGUGAUGAUGAUUAAAGCAAUUUUUUUUGUAUCUUUAGUAAUGACUUCUUAAAUAUUUUACUUUUUUGCGUUACACAACGCUUCAAGUUACUUUAGGACUUUUUUUUAGAGACUAAGACCCGUUUUUUUUUAUUGAGCGCAAACCGUUUAGUUUUAAAUAAUAUUAAAGUUGAUUUCAAACACUUUGAAUAUAUAUAUUUUUACGAAAAUAUUUAAUUUUUCAGUUAAUCACUACUUGCA